AGGAGAAGUGACGGAGCAGUGC
rnacentral:miRNA from 1 species